UGAACAGCACCUUAGAGCUGAGGUCCACAGG
rnacentral:piRNA from 1 species